rnacentral:rRNA from 1 species
GGUUAAGCGACUAAGCGUACACGGUGGAUGCCCUGGCAGUCAGAGGCGAUGAAGGACGUGCUAAUCUGCGAUAAGCGUCGGUAAGGUGAUAUGAACCGUUAUAACCGGCGAUUUCCGAAUGGGGAAACCCAGUGUGUUUCGACACACUAUCAUUAACUGAAUCCAUAGGUUAAUGAGGCGAACCGGGGGAACUGAAACAUCUAAGUACCCCGAGGAAAAGAAAUCAACCGAGAUUCCCCCAGUAGCGGCGAGCGAACGGGGAGCAGCCCAGAGCCUGAAUCAGUGUGUGUGUUAGUGGAAGCGUCUGGAAAGGCGCGCGAUACAGGGUGACAGCCCCGUACACAAAAAUGCACAUGCUGUGAGCUCGAUGAGUAGGGCGGGACACGUGGUAUCCUGUCUGAAUAUGGGGGGACCAUCCUCCAAGGCUAAAUACUCCUGACUGACCGAUAGUGAACCAGUACCGUGAGGGAAAGGCGAAAAGAACCCCGGCGAGGGGAGUGAAAAAGAACCUGAAACCGUGUACGUACAAGCAGUGGGAGCACGCUUAGGCGUGUGACUGCGUACCUUUUGUAUAAUGGGUCAGCGACUUAUAUUCUGUAGCAAGGUUAACCGAAUAGGGGAGCCGAAGGGAAACCGAGUCUUAACUGGGCGUUAAGUUGCAGGGUAUAGACCCGAAACCCGGUGAUCUAGCCAUGGGCAGGUUGAAGGUUGGGUAACACUAACUGGAGGACCGAACCGACUAAUGUUGAAAAAUUAGCGGAUGACUUGUGGCUGGGGGUGAAAGGCCAAUCAAACCGGGAGAUAGCUGGUUCUCCCCGAAAGCUAUUUAGGUAGCGCCUCGUGAAUUCAUCUCCGGGGGUAGAGCACUGUUUCGGCAAGGGGGUCAUCCCGACUUACCAACCCGAUGCAAACUGCGAAUACCGGAGAAUGUUAUCACGGGAGACACACGGCGGGUGCUAACGUCCGUCGUGAAGAGGGAAACAACCCAGACCGCCAGCUAAGGUCCCAAAGUCAUGGUUAAGUGGGAAACGAUGUGGGAAGGCCCAGACAGCCAGGAUGUUGGCUUAGAAGCAGCCAUCAUUUAAAGAAAGCGUAAUAGCUCACUGGUCGAGUCGGCCUGCGCGGAAGAUGUAACGGGGCUAAACCAUGCACCGAAGCUGCGGCAGCGACGCUUAUGCGUUGUUGGGUAGGGGAGCGUUCUGUAAGCCUGCGAAGGUGUGCUGUGAGGCAUGCUGGAGGUAUCAGAAGUGCGAAUGCUGACAUAAGUAACGAUAAAGCGGGUGAAAAGCCCGCUCGCCGGAAGACCAAGGGUUCCUGUCCAACGUUAAUCGGGGCAGGGUGAGUCGACCCCUAAGGCGAGGCCGAAAGGCGUAGUCGAUGGGAAACAGGUUAAUAUUCCUGUACUUGGUGUUACUGCGAAGGGGGGACGGAGAAGGCUAUGUUGGCCGGGCGACGGUUGUCCCGGUUUAAGCGUGUAGGCUGGUUUUCCAGGCAAAUCCGGAAAAUCAAGGCUGAGGCGUGAUGACGAGGCACUACGGUGCUGAAGCAACAAAUGCCCUGCUUCCAGGAAAAGCCUCUAAGCAUCAGGUAACAUCAAAUCGUACCCCAAACCGACACAGGUGGUCAGGUAGAGAAUACCAAGGCGCUUGAGAGAACUCGGGUGAAGGAACUAGGCAAAAUGGUGCCGUAACUUCGGGAGAAGGCACGCUGAUAUGUAGGUGAAGUCCCUUGCGGAUGGAGCUGAAAUCAGUCGAAGAUACCAGCUGGCUGCAACUGUUUAUUAAAAACACAGCACUGUGCAAACACGAAAGUGGACGUAUACGGUGUGACGCCUGCCCGGUGCCGGAAGGUUAAUUGAUGGGGUUAGCGCAAGCGAAGCUCUUGAUCGAAGCCCCGGUAAACGGCGGCCGUAACUAUAACGGUCCUAAGGUAGCGAAAUUCCUUGUCGGGUAAGUUCCGACCUGCACGAAUGGCGUAAUGAUGGCCAGGCUGUCUCCACCCGAGACUCAGUGAAAUUGAACUCGCUGUGAAGAUGCAGUGUACCCGCGGCAAGACGGAAAGACCCCGUGAACCUUUACUAUAGCUUGACACUGAACAUUGAGCCUUGAUGUGUAGGAUAGGUGGGAGGCUUGGAAGUGUGGACGCCAGUCUGCAUGGAGCCGACCUUGAAAUACCACCCUUUAAUGUUUGAUGUUCUAACGUUGACCCGUAAUCCGGGUUGCGGACAGUGUCUGGUGGGUAGUUUGACUGGGGCGGUCUCCUCCUAAAGAGUAACGGAGGAGCACGAAGGUUGGCUAAUCCUGGUCGGACAUCAGGAGGUUAGUGCAAUGGCAUAAGCCAGCUUGACUGCGAGCGUGACGGCGCGAGCAGGUGCGAAAGCAGGUCAUAGUGAUCCGGUGGUUCUGAAUGGAAGGGCCAUCGCUCAACGGAUAAAAGGUACUCCGGGGAUAACAGGCUGAUACCGCCCAAGAGUUCAUAUCGACGGCGGUGUUUGGCACCUCGAUGUCGGCUCAUCACAUCCUGGGGCUGAAGUAGGUCCCAAGGGUAUGGCUGUUCGCCAUUUAAAGUGGUACGCGAGCUGGGUUUAGAACGUCGUGAGACAGUUCGGUCCCUAUCUGCCGUGGGCGCUGGAGAACUGAGGGGGGCUGCUCCUAGUACGAGAGGACCGGAGUGGACGCAUCACUGGUGUUCGGGUUGUCAUGCCAAUGGCACUGCCCGGUAGCUAAAUGCGGAAGAGAUAAGUGCUGAAAGCAUCUAAGCACGAAACUUGCCCCGAGAUGAGUUCUCCCUGACUCCUUGAGAGUCCUGAAGGAACGUUGAAGACGACGACGUUGAUAGGCCGGGUGUGUAAGCGCAGCGAUGCGUUGAGCUAACCGGUACUAAUGAACCGUGAGGCUUAACCUU